UACGAACCGUCCAAACGUUAUUCGGAAUCACUGGGCUUACAGAGUUCGUAGGCGGCGGAGAAAGUAGGGUGUGAAAGCCCUCGGCUCAACCGAGGAACAGCGCCCUAAACUACUUUGCUUGAGGAGGCUAGAGGUGAGCAGAACAGAUGGUGGAGCGGUGAAAUGCGUUGAUAUCAUCUAGAAUACCGGAGGCGAAGGCGGCUCACUGGGACCUUUCUGACGCUGAGGAACGAAAGCUAGGGUAGCGAACGGG
rnacentral:rRNA from 1 species